UGAUAUUAUAUACGUAGCUUUCAUGUAUUUGUACAGAGCUCCGCCUGUAACUAUUAAACAACAGCAGGUGUAUGUUAACAAGAUACAUAACUCUCUGUUUGUCUUCUCCUCUCAAGUUGCAGAUAUGUUUCACUUUCAAUCAACGUUGCCCAUAUCUUUAUCUCUUUUUCCUUCGUUUUUUCCUAGGUUUGUUUUAGGUUCUCUGCAUUCUUCUUAGAUCUUUUUCUCUUUUCUCUUCUUUUUUUCCCUUUUGUAUUCUUUUGGUAAUUGUGAAGCUCAAUGGUUUGUGCAGGUUCUCUUUUCCUUUUGUAUUCUAUUGGGUAAUUGUGAAGCUCAAUGGUUUUUGCAGGUUCUCUUCUCACGUUGAGCACAAAAGAGAUAAAUUGUUUUGUAUUGGGAGUGAAAUUUCAAGGAGAAAUCAGUAAGCAAGACCAAAGAGAGGGAAAACCGAGAAUGAAGAAAGAUGAGCACACUCGGGGCCUCAGGUAAGCGAUAAGAUUAUGCGAUGGGAAAAGGAUGCGGUGGCUGAGAAAGAAAUCAAGAAAGCUACACGUAGUAUUUGUGGAUGGGAAAAAACGCAUGUAUAGAAGUUGAUGCUAAAUGAUUGAAUUACCCUCAAGCUUUUUUAAAAUGACACUAAGCAGACAUGUCGAAACAUGUUGCUCUUCUAUUAUAUAGAAUAAAUGAAGCUAUUGCUCUAUGAAAAUAUCAAAUAAGGUUGACUAUAAAGAGUUUUGUAGAGAUUAAAAGAAUAAGUGUGAUUAAACUUCUAAAAUUUUGAGAUUAUGAUGUUUUGAUGUACGUAGACUUAUUGAGAUCUAUACUUCUGCAACUACUAAAUUCUAUGAGAUAUUCACUGAACUUUCAUAAAUGCCCAAAGUAACAUCACAACCUUUUUAGGUUGUGAUCAAUUUUGAAACAAUUUCUUAAUUAAAACCAAGAGGUUUGGUAUAGAAAACAAUUAAGUUUUCAUGAUACCAAAUUGCUAUAAUUUCAAGGAAAAUAAAUCAAUUUUAACUUCAUUUUCCGCAAUCGCAUAUUUUUCUCCUAAAUGCAAUUUAAUUAAUUCAACCAUUUAUUCAUGAAAAACUACUUAGCAUAAUUAGAAUCUUAAUUUAAACAUGUUUGUUUUCCAAAAUUAAUUGAAACAAAAGAAAAUUAAUACUUGGCCUUGUCUAAUUUGUUGAAUCGGGCUCUCUGUGUUGUGCAACAUGGGCCUAAAACUUUUAAGGAUUUUUAUUAAUCUUUUUUCCCUUUUAGCAGUAAAAAAUUGCACGGGGCAUCCUAUUUGGUCGCCCCCAUUUAACCUAUACCCAUUUUUUAAAAAGUGUUAAUUUGUACCCACUUUUUAAACAACUUCAGCCUCAUUUAUCCUUCUCCUUCUCCUCCUUCGUUUUCUUCUUCUUCUUCUUCUUCUUCUUCUUCUUCUUCUUCUUCUUCUUUCUUCUACUGUUGUUGGUGCUGCUAUGAAACUUCAGUUCAUAGGAUGAUUGUCAUAAGUAUAUUUAUCAGAUUAAUUAAAAAUAAAUUAUAAAUAAUGACGUAAGUUAGUAGACUAUAAUUUGUGAAUAUUUCCACGUACGGGAAGUUUAAUGUCACGCUUAGUGAUUCUUUUCAUGAUAAUUCUGUUCUUUACACGUUUAUUGUUUCCAAAAUUUAUGAUUUGGAUAUUGUUGACAAUCUGAUUAUUUAUCUAGUAUGUUAGAAAGCUUUUUCAAAAGCUUCAGCUUAUAUAGGGCUGAAAUUUUUACAAAUGAAAUAAAUAACUUCAGCAUCUUCUGCUGAAGUUUUUGAAAAAACUUUAUGACAAAACUAAUGAAUCUAGGACAAAAAAAACUUCAGCUUAUUAGUGCUGAAGUUUUUACAAAUGAACUAAAUAACUUCAGCAUCUUCUGCUGAAGUUUUUGAAAAAACUUAUCCAGGACAAAAAAACAUUAGCUUAUUUAAUGCUGAAGUUUUUAUAAAUGAACUAAAUAACUUCAGCAUCUUCUGCUGAACUUUUUGAAAAAGCUUAAUGACAAAACUAAUAGGGCUUGAGCUUCGACGUGUGUGUUUUUUGUCUUUUUAUUUAUGAUCGAGGUUAAUUUAGUCAUUUAGAUCAUCUCUCUGACUGAUAUUAUAUAUGUGGCUUUAAUUUAUUUGUACAAAGCUCCGCCUGUAACUAUUAAACAACACCAGGUGUAUGUUAACAAGAUACAUAGCUCUCUAUUUGUCUUCUUCUCUCAAGCUGCAGAUAUGUUUCACUUUCAAUCAAUAUUGCCCAUAUCUUUAUCUACUUUUCCUUCAUUUUUUCCUAGGUUUGUUUUGGGUUCUCUGCAUUCUUCUUAGAUCUUUUUCUCUUUUUUCUUCUUUUUCCCUUUAGUAUUAUUUUGGUAAUUGUGAAGCUCAAUGGUUUUUGCAGGUUCUCUUUUCUUUUUGUAUUCUUUUGGGUAAUGGUGAAGCUCAAUGAUUUUUGCAGGUUCUCUUCUCACGUUGAGCACCAAAGAGAUAAAUUGUUCUGUAUUGGGAGUGAAAUUCUGAAGAGAAAUCAGUAAGCAAGACGAAAGAGAGGAAAAACCGAGAAUGAAGAAAGAUGAGCAGACUCGGGGCAUCAGGUAAGCGCUAAGAUUAUGCGGUGGGAAAAGGAUGCGGUGGCUGAGAAGAAAUCAAGAAAGCUACACGUAGUAUUUGUGGAUGGGAAAAAAUCCAGGUAUAAAAGUUGAUGCUAAAUGAUUGAAUUACCCUCAAGCUUUUUAAAAAUGACACUAAGCAGACAUGUCGAAACAUGUUGCUCUUCUAUUAUAUUGAAGAAAUGAAGCUAUUGCUCUAUGAAAAUAUCAAAAUAAGGUUGACUAUAAAGAGUUUUGCAGAUAUUAAAAGAAUAAGUGUGAUUAUUUUGAGAUUAUGAUGUUUUGAUGUACGUCGACUCAUUGAGAUCUAUAAUUCUACAACUACUAAAUUCUAUGAGAUAUUCACUGCACUUUCAUUAAUGCCCAAAGUAACAUCACAACUUUUUUAGGUUGUGAUCAAUUUUGAAAAUAUUUCUUAACUAAAACCAAGAGGUUUGGUAUAGAAAACAAAUAAGUUUUUCCGAUACCAAAUUGCUAUAAUUUAGAGGAAAAUAAAUCAAUUUUAACUUCAUUUUCAGCAAUCGCACAUUUUUUUCUCCUAAAUGUAAUUUAAUUAGUUCGACCAUUUAUUCAUGAAAAACUACUUACCAUAAUUAGAAUCUUAAUUUGAACAUGUUUGUUUUCCAAAAAGAUUUGAAACAAAAGAAAAUUAAUACUUGGCCUUGUCUAAUUUGUUGAAUCGGGCUCUCUGUGUUGUGCAACAUGGGCCUAAAAGUUUUAAGGAUUUUUAUUGGGCUUUUUUCUCUUUUAGCAGUAAAAAUUUUUAGCACAUUUUAUUGGGCUUAAUUUGUACCCACUUUUUAAACAACUUCAGCCUUAUUUCUCCUUCUCCUUCUCCUUCUUCUUCUUCUUCUUCUUCUUCUUCUUCUUCUUCUUCUUCUUCUUCUUCUGCUGCUGCUGCUGUUGGUGUUGCUAUGAAACUUCAGUUCAUGGGAUGAUUGUCAUAAGUAUAUUUAUCAGAUUAUUUAAAAAUAAAUUAUAAAUAAUGACGUAAGUUAGUAGACUAUAAUUUGUGAAUAUUUUCACGUACGGGAAGUUUAAUGUCAUGCAUAGUGAUUCUUUUCAUGAUAAUUCUGUUCUUUACACGUUUAUUAUUUCCAAAAUUUAUGAUUUGGAUAUUGUUGGCAAUCUGAUUAUUUAUCUAGUAUGUUAGAAAGGUUUUUUAAAAACUUCAACUUAUAUAGGGCUGAAAUUUUUACAAAUGAAAUAAAUAACUUCAGCAUCUUCUGCUAAAGUUUUUGAAAAAGCUGUAUUUGUGGAUGGGAAAAAAUCAGGAAGCUCAAUGGUUUUUGCAGGUUCUCUUCUCACGUUGAGCACAAAAGAGAUAAAUUAUACUGUAUUAGGAGUGAAAUUCCAAAGAGAAAUCAGGAAGCAAGACCAAAGAGAGGGAAAACCGAGAAUGAAGAAAUAUGAGCACACUCGGGGCCUCAGGUAAGUGAUAAGAUUAUACGGUGGGAAAAGGAUGCGGUGGUUGAGAAAGAAAUCAAGAAAGCUACACUUAGUAUUUGUGGAUGGGAAAACAUGCAGGUAUAGAAGUUGAUGCUAAAUGAUUGAAUUACCCUCAAGCUUUUUUAAAAUUACACUAAGCAGACAUGUCGAAACAUGUUGCUCUUCUAUUACAUAGAAGAAAUGAAGCUAUUGCUCUAUGAAAAUAUCAAAUAAGGUUGACUAUAAAGAGUUUUGCAAAAAUUAAAGAAUAAGUGUGAUUAAACUUCUAAAAUUUUGAGAUUAUGAUGUUUUGAUGUACGUCGACUCAUUGAGAUUUAUACUUCUGCAACUACUAAAUUAUAUGAGAUAUUCACUGCACUUUCAUAAAUGCCCAAAGUAUCAUCACAACUUUUCUAGGUUGUGAUCAAUUUUGAAAAAAAUUCUUAAUUAAAACCAAGAGGUUUGAUAUAGAAAACAAACAAGUUUUCACGAUACCAAAUUGCUAUAUUUCAAGGAAAAUAAAUCAAUUUUAACUUCAUUCUGAGCAAUCACACGUUUUUUUGUCCUAAAUGCAAUUUAAUUAAUUCGACCAUUUAUUCAUGAAACACUACUUACCAUAAUUAGAAUCUUAGUUUAAACAUGUUUUUUUUCAAAAAGAUUUGAAACAAAAAAAAAUUAAUACUUUCCCUUGUCUAAUUUGUUGAAUCGAGCUAUCUAUGUUGUGCAACAUGGGCCUAAAAUUUUUAAGGAUUUCUAUUGGGCUUUUUUCACUUUUAGUAGUAAAAAUUGCACGGGGCACCCUAUUUGGUCACUUCAUUUAACCUAUACCCAUUUUUAUAAAAGGUUUUAAUUUGUACCCACUUUUUAAACAACUUCAGCUCUUUUUUCUCCUCCUCCUUCUCUUCCUUCGUUUUCUUCUUCUUCUUCUUCUUCUUCUUCUUCUUCUUCUUCUNN
rnacentral:lncRNA from 1 species